ACCACUGUUCCUGAAACCUGGUCAGAGCGGAACUCAGGGGCUGGAGUGCUACCACUGCCCAGAUGACCCACGAGAGUCUUCCUGCAAUACCACAACCUGCCCCUUCCCUGAUGGAUUCUGUGUUACUCAGGAGGCAGAAAUUAUUGUGGACUCUCAAAGAAGGAAAGUAAAGAGCCAUCAGUGCCUUUCUUACUGCCCUACUGAUCUUGAAAAUAGCCCGAUCAAGGAUCCUAAGGUCAAGGUGAAGAUUUCCUGUUGCCAGGAAGACCUCUGCAAUGCAGCAGUUCCCACUGAAGGCAGCACCUGGACCAUGGCAGGGGUGCUUCUGUUCAGCCUGAGCUCAGUCCUCCUGCAGACCUUGCUGUGAUGGUCCUUCCAACAACCCUCACCCUUGUCCUUUUAUCCUCAUGUGCAACCACUCUUUCCUGGAGUCCUCUAGUGAUGAAUUAUGAGUUAUAGAAGCUCCAAGGUGGGAGUACUGUGUGGAACACCCUGUUUUACCUUUAUAGCCCCUGCUGGGUAGGUGCCCCACUCCUCUCUAAGGCUUUCAGAUCUGUACUUCCUGGAAUGUUAUUUUGUUGUGGCUUGCAAUUCCUGGCCCUGGAGGCAUGUGGCCAGCACAGGCAUGAGCCAGUAUUCCAAGGUGUUAUGCCAUCACCAUCCACACAUAAGUAUCUGGAGUCCUGCAGGGUUCCGAUGUGUGCUGGUCAAUGUCCCCCUUUUGAGUCCAAUAAACCCUUUAUUCUCCCA
rnacentral:lncRNA from 1 species